rnacentral:rRNA from 1 species
AUUAAAUGCGAUAUUAGCUUUAAAUUUCUGACCUAUCAGCUGUAAACCGUGGGCUAUUGGCCGACCGUGGCGAUGACCGGCAACGGCGAACUGGGCUUUGAUAGCGGCGAAGGCGCGUAAGAAACCGCGACCACCAGCAAAGAAGGCAGCCGUCGUGCGAACUAUCCGAUUCUGAUUCAGGGCGGCAGCGAUAAAAAAUAACAGUAUCGUACCUUUUGGUUUUGCAACUGGAACGAACUGAGCAUUAACCCGUUUACCAGCAUUAACUGGCGUGCGAGCCUGGUGCCGGCGGCGGCGGUGAUUCCGGCGCCGAUUGCGUAUAUUAAAGUGGUGGCGGUGAAAAAACUGGUGGUGGGCUUUCUGCUGAUUAUUUAUAUUAAAUAUUUUGAUGAAUAUCUGUAUAACAUUAACAUUAUUCAUAUUACCAUUUAUUUUAGCAUUUAAAACUUUACCCUGCGUAAACUGGAAUGCCUGAAACAGGCGUAUGCGCUGAACACCCCGGCGUGGAACAACAUUAAAGAUUUUUAUCUGAGCUAUUGGUUUUAAGAUAAAAACAACGAUUAAUAAGGCCAGCUGGGCGCGUUUGUGUUUAACAGCCAGCGUUAAAACAGCUAAAUUUGCUAACGUCAGACCAACGCGAAAGCGUUUGCGAAAGAUGUGUUUAUUAACCAGGAACGUAAACUGGGCGAUCGUACCCGUAGCGAUACCGUGGUGGUGCUGACCAUUAACUAUGCGAACUAACGUCUGGAAGUGGUGCCGUAUAGC